GACGAACCGUGCGAACGUUGUUCGGAAUCACUGGGCUUAAAGGGCGCGUAGGCGGGCUAUCAAGUCCGGGGUGAAAUCCUCCAGCUCAACUGGAGAACUGCCUCGGAUACUGAUGGUCUCGAGGAGGAUAGGGGCACACGGAACUGUGGGUGGAGCGGUGAAAUGCGUUGAUAUCAGGAGGAAUACCGAUGGCGAAGGCAGGUCUCUGGGCUGACACUGACGCUCAUGCACGAAAGCGUGGGGAGCAAACAGG
rnacentral:rRNA from 1 species